GUUUUCAAUUUUCCUCGGUAGUUUACUGCCGAAAUUUUCCUCGGCAGUUAACUGCCGAGGGGCAU
rnacentral:pre_miRNA from 1 species